rnacentral:rRNA from 1 species
CCUACGUGAGGCAGCAGUGGGGAAUAUUGCACAAUGGGGGAAACCCUGAUGCAGCGACGCCGCGUGAGCGAUGAAGUAUUUCGGUAUGUAAAGCUCUAUCAGCAGGGAAGAAAAUGACGGUACCUGACUAAGAAGCCCCGGCUAACUACGUGCCAGCAGCCGCGGUAAUACGUAGGGGGCAAGCGUUAUCCGGAUUUACUGGGUGUAAAGGGAGCGUAGACGGCCGUGCAAGUCAGAUGUGAAAUCCUGGGGCUUAACCACGGGACUGCUUUGGAAACUGUGCAGCUAGAGUGCAGGAGAGGUAGGCGGAAUUCCUAGUGUAGCGGUGAAAUGCGUAGAUAUGAGGAGGAACACCAGUGGCGAAGGCGGCCUGCUGGACGAUGACUGACGUUGAGGCUCGAAAGCGUGGGGAGCAAACAGGAUUAGAUACCCCAGUAGUC